rnacentral:rRNA from 1 species
GAUGAACGCUGGCGGCGUGCCUAAUACAUGCAAGUCGAACGAAAUUAUUUUAAUAGAAGAUUACUUGUAAUUGGAAGUUAAAUUAAUUUAGUGGUGAACGGGUGAGUAAUACAUAAGUAAUCUGCCCUUAAGGACCGGGAUAACUGUUGGAAACGAUGGCUAAUACCGGAUAAGUAAUUGGAAGGCAUCUUCUAAUUAUUAAAGCUUAAAUACACACAAGGAUGAGCUUAUGGUGCAUUAGCUAGUUGGUGGGUAACGGCCUACCAAGGCUGUGAUGCAUAGCCGACCUGAGAGGGUGAUCGGCCACACUGGGACUGAGACACGGCCCAGACUCCUACGGGAGGCAGCAGUAGGGAAUUUUCGGCAAUGGGGGCAACCCUGACCGAGCAACGCCGCGUGAGUGAUGAAGGUCGCAAGAUUGU